GCACCGUUGGUCUAAUGGUAGAAUUUUACUUUUUUUUUGUAGGGGUCCGGGUUCGAUUCCCGGACGGUGCA
rnacentral:tRNA from 1 species